rnacentral:rRNA from 1 species
UUCGUAGGCGGUGUGGCAAGUCGGGAGUGAAAUCUCUGGGCUCAACCCAGAGACUGCUUCCGAAACUGCUGUGCUUGAGUGUGAGAGAGGCUCGUGGAAUUGCAGGUGUAGCGGUGAAAUGCGUAGAUAUCUGCAGGAACACCCGUGGCGAAAGCGGCGAGCUGGAUCACUACUGACGCUGAGGAACGAAAGCUAGGGGAGCAAACAGGAUUAGAUACCCUGGUAGUCCUAGCCCUAAACGAUCAGGACUUGGGGUGCCGCCCGUUCGGGCGUCGUCCCGGAGCUAACGCGUUAAGUCCUGCACCUGGGGAGUACGGUCGCAAGACUGGA